rnacentral:tRNA from 1 species
GGGGACGUAGCUCAGCUGGUUAGAGCGCAUGCCUGUCACGCAUGAGGUCGCGAGUUCGAAUCUCGUCGUCCCCGCCA